ensembl:lncRNA
UACAUUUUAGCCUUUCAGGCCAAGGAAGAUUUAAAUGGAUAUUCGGGACCAUGCUUUCAAUAACACCUUGAAGAGACUUUCCCCAAAUAGCUAUUGUCAAAGAGAACCCACUGAGAGCUGUGUUAAAGGAGGGGAGUGUGAAGCAAUUUAUAUCAAUGAAAAAAAUUUAAACUAUUGAAAUCACUGUAUUGUUCAUCAACCAGAGGAGACUGUUAUUUUGAAGGCCUCUUCCAGAGACUGAACUGCCAUUUGGCUGAAUUGUCUUGGGCUCACUAAGUCAUUAAUUUCCUUUCCCAUCUGUAAAAAUGUGAAUCUUCCAGAAGAAUUUAAAGCAAAUCUGAAGAAUUUAAAGCAAAUCUCAGAACUGGGAUUCUUUUCAGAACUACUAUAUCCAUCUGAGGAUAUGGGAAAUGGUAAAAAGAAGAAGCCACAGAGAUUUAAUCACUGAACAUAAGAAAGAGCCUGAAACUACCUGAGCAAUAAAGAAAAGAAGCUGACCGUUUAUUGCGAGGUACAGCCAAGUAAUGCUGGAAGAUUUGAAGGGACAGAAAAUGAGAGUAGGUGCAUCUGUGCCAAGAGUUUUAUUGUAGAAGGAGGAGAAUCAACACAUUUUACAAAUUUAAGCUCCAACAAGUUGUAGAUGUUCUCUCCAGACAUUCCUGUGCCACAUCCCCACAGGAAACAAGUGGACAUGAGCCAGGGGUAAUAUUCCAGGUAAGUAGAAACAAGGACUGGGUGCUAUCUGCAAUUGCUUUAGUUGUCUUCUUUGUUGUGGUGGUGGGGAUGGAAAAGCAGCAUUUUCUUACAGUCUAAAUGGCUAACAUCAGAUCAUUUCCACUAAAGAAGGACUAUAAAUGUCGAGAUAGGGGAGGGAAAGGACACAGAAGUAUAAAGCAAAGAUUUGAAAAACACAUGUCUCUUCUAUGUUUCAAAUGGUUGAGAUCAUUUGAAGUUUGACCACUAGAUAAAUUGAGGUAAUAACAGUGCCAUACAGCUUAAAGGUGAAUUGCCAGGAUCACUAAAGGGCAAAGUGAAGACUCUGAAAG